GUUAAUUUUGAUGCUAAACAACGUGCUAAAUUGAUUUUAAAAAUGCAUGAGUUAACUAAGGAAAACAUUGAACGCAUGAAUGCUAAAUAUAAACUUGCUGGAGAUAAGGGUAGAAAACAUGUUGUGUUUGCACCUGGAGAUCUUGUUUGGUUACAUUUGCGUAAGGAUAGAUUUCCUGAUUUGCGCAAAUCAAAGUUAAUGCCACGUGCUGAUGGUCCCUUUAAGGUGUUAGAGAAAAUAAAUGAUAAUGCAUAUAAACUUGAGCUGCCUGCAGAUUUUGGGGUUAGUCCCACUUUUAACAUUGCAGAUUUGAAGCCUUAUUUGGGUGAGGAAGAUGAACUUCCGUCGAGGACGACUUCAUUUCAAGAAGGGGAGGAUGAUGAGGACAUCAAUACAAUUGUUACACCCACAGCCCCUGCUGCUAUACAUACUGGA
rnacentral:rRNA from 1 species